rnacentral:misc_RNA from 1 species
GUAGGUGAACCUGCGGAAGGAUCAUUAACGAGUUAGGGUCUUUCAGGCCCGACCUCCCAACCCUUUGUCUAUUGAACCUCUGUUGCUUCGGCGGACCCGCCUCACGGCCGCCGGAGGACCGCCGCAAGGCGUCCUCUGGCCCGCGUCUGUCGAUAGCCAACCCUAAACUCUGAAUCAAUCGUGUCAUAUGUCUAAGUCUAUGAUUAAAUUAUAAGCAAAACUUUCAACAACGGAUCUCUUGGUUCUG